rnacentral:misc_RNA from 1 species
AAGUCGUAACAAGGUAACCGUAGGUGAACCUGCGGUUGGAUCAUUAAUAAAUCCAAUCUUUGACUGAGCUUAUCGCUGGUUCGCUGGCUUUAGGCGCUGUCAAAUACCACACCUAUGUGCACUUAUAAAUUAGUUCUUUUACUCGUGUUUGAUUGGUUGGUCGUUUCCCUUGGGAGACACUGGCCAUGAUGGCUUGAGUAGAAAUCUACUAAACUCCUAUUCUAUUAAUUUGAACUGAAAUCUUUUUCAAGUAAACGAAAUCUCUCUAGGGAGUCGGUAGUUGAUUUGAAAUAAAGCCAAAUGAGAUAACAACUUUUGACAACGGAUCUCUUGGCUCUC